rnacentral:rRNA from 1 species
UACGGGGGGGGCAAGCGUUGUUCGGAAUUACUGGGCGUAAAGGGCUCGUAGGCGGCCAACUAAGUCAGACGUGAAAUCCCUCGGCUUAACCGGGGAACUGCGUCUGAUACUGGAUGGCUUGAGUUUGGGAGAGGGAUGCGGAAUUCCAGGUGUAGCGGUGAAAUGCGUAGAUAUCUGGAGGAACACCGGUGGCGAAGGCGGCCCACUGGAUCGGUACUGACGCUGAGGUGCGAAAGCGUGGGGAGCAAACAGG